rnacentral:rRNA from 1 species
AACGAACGCUGGCGGCAGGCCUAACACAUGCAAGUCGAGCGCCCCCUUCGGAGCACAGAGAACGGAAUACAGGGAUCGGACGAGAGAUUGUUCUGAUCCUUGUAUUCUGUCUUCUGUUUUCCGAUGGGGGAGGCGGCGGACGGGUGAGUAACGCGUGGGAAUUUUCCUCAAGGUACGGAACAACUCAGGGAAACUUGGGCUAAUACCGUAUGAUGUCUAGCGACCAAAGAUUUAUCGCCUUGGGAUAAGCCCGCGUCAGAUUAGGUAGUUGGUGGGGUAACGGGCCUACCAAGCCUGCGAUCUGUAGCUGGUCUGAGAGGACGAUCAGCCACACUGGGACUGAGACACGGCCCAGACUCCUACGGGAGGCAGCAGU